GAUUAACGCUAGCGGCAGGCCUAAUACAUGCAAGUCGAACGGUAACAGGAUAGCAAUAUCGCUGACGAGUGGCGCACGGGUGCUUAACACGUAUGCAACCUACCUAUAACUGGGGAAUAGCUCACCGAAAGGUGAAUUAACACCGCAUAAAAUCACAGAAGGACAUCCUUUAAUGAUUAAAUCUCCGGAGGUUAUAGAUGGGCAUGCGCCCGAUUAGCUAGUUGGCGGGGUAACAGCCCACCAAGGCAACGAUCGGUAGGGGUCUGAGAGGAUGAUCCCCACACUGGUACUGAGACACGGACCAGACUCCUACGGGAGGCAGCAGUAAGG
rnacentral:rRNA from 1 species